AAAAGAACUUUGAAAAGAGAGUUAAAGAGUACGUGAAACCGUCUAAAGGGAAACGAAUGGAGUUAGCAAUGCGCCGCGCGAGAUUCAGCCGGCCGGGGCUGUCCGACGUGGCGGUUGGCGGAUCCUAAUGGACCGCCGCCGCCCGGCCGGGCCUCCGGGCGUCGCACUUCUCGCCGGCGCGCGUCAACGUGGGUUUGGGUCGGGUCUGAAAGGGCCGGGGAAGGUAGGUCGGUCGCUCCGGCGGCCUUCUGUUACAGCCCCAGGUCGCAACGGCCCGGUCCGGAUCGAGGAGUCGCAGCGCAUGCCCCCCCCUCGGGGUGCGGGCUAGGCUCCCGCGGCGCCGGUCGGUCGUCGAUCGCGGUGGACUGCUUGCAGUGCACCCAAACCGCUGCCGGUCGCCGUCGCGGAGAGUUCGUACCAUGCGCUAAGGACGUUGGCGGUCAGAUGGCUUCAUCCGACCCGUCUUGAAACACGGACCAAGGAGUCUAACAUGUGCGCGAGUCUUGGGGUGAUCGAAACCCAGAGGCAGAAUGAAAGUGAAGGCGGCCCGUCCGCCGAGGCGAGAACCCCCUUCGCCGCGUGCGUCGGGGGCGCAUCGUUGACCGAUCUAUUCUACUCUUAGGAAGAUUUGAGUAAGAGCGUAUCUGUUGGGACCCGAAAGAUGGUGAACUAUGCCUGAAUAGGGUGAGGCCAGAGGAAACUCUGGUGGAGGCUCGUAGCGAUUCUGACGUGCAAAUCGAUCGUCAAAUUUGGGUAUAGGGGCGAAAGACUAAUCGAACUGUC
rnacentral:rRNA from 1 species